UGGGGAAUCUUGGACAAUGGGCGCAAGCCUGAUCCAGCCAUGCCGCGUGAGCGAUGAAGGCCUUAGGGUUGUAAAGCUCUUUCACCGGUGAAGAUAAUGACGGUAGCCGGAGAAGAAGCCCCGGCUAACUCCGUGCCAGCAGCCGCGGUAAUACGGAGGGGGCUAGCGUUGUUCGGAAUUACUGGGCGUAAAGCGCGCGUAGGCGGACUGAUCAGUCAGGGGUGAAAUCCCGGGGCUCAACCCCGGAACUGCCUCCAAAACUAUUGGUCUAGAGUUCGAGAGAGGUGAGUGGAAUUCCAAGUGUAGAGGUGAAAUUCGUAGAUAUUUGGAGGAACACCAGUGGCGAAGGCGGCUCACUGGCUCGAUACUGACGCUGAGGUGCGAAAGUGUGGGGAG
rnacentral:rRNA from 1 species